GACGAACCACCCAAACGUUAUUCGGAAUUACUGGGCUUAAAGGGUGCGUAGGCUGUGCGGAAAGUUGGGUGUGAAAUCCCUCGGCUCAACCGAGGAACUGCGCCCAAAACUGCCGUGCUCGAGGAAGAUAGAGGUAAGCGGAACUUACGGUGGAGCGGUGAAAUGCGUUGAUAUCGUAAGGAACACCUGUGGCGAAAGCGGCUUACUGGGUCUUUUCUGACGCUGAUGCACGAAAGCUAGGGGAGCAAACGGG
rnacentral:rRNA from 1 species